UCUUAGUUCGUAUGGAAAUUAUCAAAGCUGGCUGGUUAUAAUUAGAUAAGAAAGGAUACAAAUGUUAUUACCAACUGAAAGGCGCUCCAAUUCCUUCCGUAUCCUGACGAGCUGCAUGUUAAACUCAAGCCUCUAAUGUCAAACUUUUUCAGUUCUGGGCAUUCAUCUCCAUACGAAUCCCACCAAUCAGCUAGUACAUUGACACGUAUAAUUAGAAAACUGAAAACUGCAGUAUAUUGAAGAGAUAGUUGCUUGUGUGCAAAUAUUAACCUGAUGAUUUCUUUGAUCUAGUCAUAACUGCAUACUCCAUUCCGAAAAGACCCCUGACAUUUUUGAAUAUAUCAAGCUGCAAGUCUAAUUUUACCCUUUCAGGCCUAUAACGGAAAUGUGGAUUCAGAUAAUAUGCUGCCGAACGAAGAGGCCUUUUAGGAGCUGUGUUUCCCAUCUUUCAUUAAUAAUAUUCCAUACUGGAUUAUAGCUGGAAAAUAAGCAUAAAUAAAUGGCAAUCAACUUCCUUGAAAAGUUUUCCUCCUUGUCACAAAAUGAGCAAUCACUUUCUGUUUGCACUUCUGUGAUUCCAGCUCUUGAUUGUGUGAGUUGGAACUUGAGUACAAGGCUCAACAUGGAAUCUGGUGCCUGCCAAAUGAUGCUUAAAUCUGUAUAUGCUGCCGGCCUUACUUAAAUUGAAAAACGUUGCAUUUCACUGUUUUUGCGCGUGGACAAAUCUCCUCACGGUACUGCCAACCUGGCAAGCAGAACAACAAGGUCUUGAUUACAUAUAUUGCUUAACAGGGAAUAGCAAUGAGAAAUAAGUGAAUGGAUGUUUCACGCACAAAGGCGGCUGCAAUCCAAUUGAUCAAGCAUGCAUGAUCAUCGGAUGAGCUUGUGAAGGAGUACAAGGCCAUGCUCGACUAGCUCCUACCAUUGAAGAAACCAUCAGUAUCAAAUGAAUAUGGAAAAGAAGAUAUCAACACUGAGACAAGCCUUUGAAGCGCAGUUCUUCCUUGGAUAGUAGCGGAUGCAUUCUAGAUCUUGAUGAUUGAGUUCAUGGAGAGCAUGUACAUGAAGAGCUUUAUGAGAUAGAUUGCAACUUCUGUGCAAAUGUUAUGUCAUAUUGGGUGAUGUAUAUGUAUCAUUGGUGCAACAUCUUAUUGUGCAAUCUGAAAUAUU